rnacentral:rRNA from 1 species
AUACGAAGGGGGCUAGCGUUGUUCGGAAUUACUGGGCGUAAAGCGCGCGUAGGCGGACUGAUCAGUUGGGGGUGAAAUCCCAGGGCUUAACCCUGGAACUGCCUCCAAUACUGUCAGUCUUGAGUUCGGGAGAGGUGAGUGGAAUUCCUAGUGUAGAGGUGAAAUUCGUAGAUAUUAGGAAGAACACCAGUGGCGAAGGCGGCUCACUGGCCCGAUACUGACGCUGAGGCGCGAAAGCGUGGGGAGCAAACAGGAUUAGAAACCCUUGUAGUCC